GAGUUACUACAACACUUUUAAAUUUUUUUCUAGCAGGUUUUCUGAUUUUGGUGGGAAAACCCAA